GAAUAAAGCUGUGAAGGAACGAGCCCAGGGCGUGGUCCUGAAAGUGCUCACAAACUUUAAGAGCAGUGAAAUUGAACAGGCUGUGCAGUCGCUGGACAGAAACGGCAUUGAUUUAUUAAUGAAGUACAUUUAUAAAGGGUUUGAGAAGCCCACAGAAAAUAGCAGCGCAGUGUUACUCCAGUGGCAUGAAAAGGUAUGUGAACACAUUGCUCCCUGCAGGCAGCCCACUGACUUACCUACCCUAGGGUUCACAUCAGCAGGCCACAUUUUCCAGAACAAACACAGGACAGUCUCGUAGGCAUAUGAGGAAAGGGGACAUCUGAUCACUUGCCUCUCCCAAGGAAGCACCUGGUAGGGAUCUACUGUCUCUGGUAAUUGCUGUUGAUUUUGCUCUUUAGCUGAUGAAUGCAAGGCAGGACAGGGUACCCUUGGUGCAGGACGUGGAGGGAGAUGACAUGGCAAGGUAGACAGGGAGUCCUAGGUA